rnacentral:rRNA from 1 species
AGCAGCCGCGGUAAUUCCAGCUCCAAUAGCGUAUAUUAAAGUUGUUGCAGUUAAAAAGCUCGUAGUUGAAUUUCGGGAUCAAUAUGUCGGUCGUGCCUCGGUACGUACUGGCAUCAUUGGUUUCUCCCUUCUGAUGAACCAUGAUGCCAUUAAUUUGGUGUCGUGGGGAAUCAGGACUGUUACUUUGAAAAAAU